rnacentral:rRNA from 1 species
CAUGCAGUCGAACGGAGCACCCUUGAUUGAGGUUUCGGCCAAAUGAUAGGAAUGCUUAGUGGCGGACUGGUGAGUAACGCGUGAGGAACCUGCCUUUCAGAGGGGGACAACAGUUGGAAACGACUGCUAAUACCGCAUGACGCAUUUUGAUCGCAUGGUCGAAAUGCCAAAGAUUUAUCGCUGAAAGAUGGCCUCGCGUCUGAUUAGCUAGUUGGCGGGGUAACGGCCCACCAAGGCGACGAUCAGUAGCCGGACUGAGAGGUUGACCGGCCACAUUGGGACUGAGAUACGGCCCAGACUCCUACGGGAGGCAGCAGUGGGGAAUAUUGGGCAAUGGGCGCAAGCCUGACCCAGCAACGCCGCGUGAAGGAAGAAGGCUUUCGGGUUGUAAACUUCUUUUAAGUGGGAAGAGUAGAAGACGGUACCACCUGAAUAAGCCACGGCUAACUACGUGCCAGCAGCCGCGGUAAUACGUAGGUGGCAAGCGUUGUCCGGAUUUACUGGGUGUAAAGGGCGUGCAGCCGGGCAUGCAAGUCAGAUGUGAAAUCUCAGGGCUUAACCCUGAAACUGCAUUUGAAACUGUAUGUCUUGAGUGCCGGAGAGGUAAUCGGAAUUCCUUGUGUAG